GACACAGGCCACUUCCAGCGUAGCCAAGGCGGCUAACGCUACUACCAACCCGUCGCAGCUGCUGCCGCUAGAGCUUAUAGACAAAUGUAUGGGAUCAAGAAUUCACAUCGUGAUAAAGAGUGAUAAGGAAAUUGUUGGUACUCUUCUAGGAUUUGAUGACUUUGUCAAUAUGGUACUGGAAGAUGUCACUGAGUUUGAAAUCACACCCGAAGGAAGAAGGAUUACUAAAUUAGAUCAGAUUUUGCUGAAUGGAAAUAAUAUAACAAUGCUGAUUCCUGGAGAAGAAGGACCUGAAGUGUGAAUAGGUUUCCCUGACUUAUGCUAGAGUCUGUUUCGUCUUAUAAUGGCAGCGUCAUGGAAGGUUUUUGUUUGUUUGUUUUACCUUUUUAAUAUUUUGAUCCUAUAAAGCUAAAUUUCCCAUUAAAGGGAAAUGCUUUGAAAAUAUAUACCCAUUUUUGUAAAUUAAUCAUGAUUAUCUUGGAAAAAGAAGAAGAAUUCUUCUUUGAAGACUAAAAUAAAGAUGUUUUUGGUUAAAAAAAAAAAAA